GACGAACGCUGGCGGCGUGCCUAACACAUGCAAGUCGAACGAGGUCCAUCCGGUGGCAACACCGGGGAAGACCUAGUGGCGAACGGGUGAGUAACACGUGAGGAACCUGCCCCGAAGACCGGGAUAACCCUCCGAAAGGAGAGCUAAUACCGGAUACCCCCACCGGACCGCAUGAUCUGGUGAGGAAAUGGAUUCCGCUUCGGGAGGGCCUCGCGGCCUAUCAGCUUGUUGGUGGGGUAAUGGCCCACCAAGGCUUCGACGGGUAGCUGGUCUGAGAGGACGAUCAGCCACACUGGGACUGAGACACGGCCCAGACUCCUACGGGAGGCAGCAGUGGGGAAUCUUGCGCAAUGGGCGAAAGCCUGACGCAGCAACGCCGCGUGGGGGAUGAAGGCUCUCGGGUUGUAAACCCCUUUCAGCAGGGACGAAUCUGACGGUACCUGCAGAAGAAGCCCCGGCCAACUACGUGCCAGCCGCCGCCGUAAAAC
rnacentral:rRNA from 1 species